GUCUACGAUCGGACGUAAAGUCGUGUGGAACGUAUCGUUCGCUGCUUUUCGAUCAAUUUCCAAAAGCACGCGGGGAACUUUCGUAGAUCGAUCUACCGAUCUUUCGUUAUCAAUCCCAAACGUAUAUUUCUUCGUCGAUUCGCGGUGAAUCGAAUAGAAGACAGAAUCUAAAAUGCCACAGCCGGCUCACGAAACUAAAAACAUUCUUACCACUUACUUGAUCUUGAUUUUACUUUUGAUAUCGUUAUGGUUACUCUACUCGGGGAUAUUUUAAUUCCCUAAUUUUUUUGUUCGUUAUGAGUUGAAAUAUGAAAGACGAAGAAUGCGAGUUUCUCGAAGGCUGGACGACUUUCUCGAUCGAUACUCGAGAAUCGAGAAUGGAAAGGAUAUCGAUUAUUACACAAGAUCAAUUUUAUGUUUCCGGAUCCUUCUUGAUCUCGUUAAUCGGAAUGAGAUCAUCGCUUUACUGUAUAGAUUAAUAUUCAUUGUUUAAGUUUCAAUAAGUUGAUAAGUUAAAGAAUUAAUCAAAACUAUCAUGUUAUCGGAAAUAGAUUAUUUUUUUUCUAUGUACGGAGACAGGGAGCGAGUGAAAUUCUUUUUUUGUUAGAACGUCAUAUUUAUGAUUGUGCCAUUUUAUAGAACGUAUGAAAUAUUCAAAAAAUUUUAAUAUGAAAACGGGUAUACGAUGCGUGUGGGUGCGAUUGAAUGAAUGUAUUCGUAGGCUCAAUGUGUGAACGUAUUCAAUGCUUAUAUAAAAGUAACGACAGUGUGUGGAAAAUAACAGCCAACAAUUACACAUAAAAUAAUGGCAUUACUUAUGUUUCAAGGACGAACAUUCAAAGAAUUUGCGAUCUAGAUAAAUGUGAAAUAUUGUUUUUAAUUCCUUAUAAAACAUUUUAUUUUAACGACGUUGAUGCGAUCAAAUUGGGACGAAUUAAAUGUCUGAAAGAUGAAGGAAUGAAUUUUCUUAGUAUGUUCGCAUAGUAAAAUUUUCAUUAUAUCUGUAUACUCAAAUAUAACAUAUAAAUAUUUCGUAUAGAGUAGUUUGUGAAAAGACUUGGAGAAAUUUAAUUUUACUUGUGAAAAAGUCAAUGGCCGUGAGGAUGAAAAAAAAAGAAAAUAAAAAAAUAAGUAAAAGAGAAACGAGAAAAAAGGAAACGAAAAAAAAGAAAAGAAAAAGAUGGGCCUUGCCUUCUGUAGAAAAUAAGUAAACGUUUGGGUUACAUGGACGAUGAACAUGCAAAGCGUGGGUGUUUAUACGAAAAUAGCCGAUGCUUUCAGUUCUCUUCUUCGAUGUUUCACUGUUUCACCACUACGUACAUAUCUACGUAGGUAUGUACGUAUAGAAGAGGAAAUCAGUAUUUUCUAUAGAAGAUCCGAAAAUAACCGAUGAGAGAAACGAAAGGAAUAUCAACGUUCCUCUUUUCGUCCUGUUCCAUCUAAAAAAGCAAUAAAUAACGAUUCGAUAGAGUGUUUA